rnacentral:rRNA from 2 species
CCCGGUAACGGGUGGAGCUGACUGGUACUAAUAGGCCGAGGGCUUGUCCUCAGUUG